rnacentral:lncRNA from 1 species
GAUGAGUUCACCAGACUGGAGGGGGAGGUGGUCCCCCUCACCACCAUGGAUACCAUGAGGGAUGAGUUCACCAGACUGGAGGGGGUCCUCCUCACCACCAUGGAUACCAUGAGGGAUGAGUUCACCAGACUGGAGGGGGGAGGGGGCCCUCCUCACCACCUUGGAUACCAUGAGGGAUGAGUUCACCAGACUGGAGGGGGAGGUGGUCCUCUUCACCACCAUGGAUACAAUGAGGGAUGAGUUCACCAGACUGGAGAGGGGAGGGGGCCCUCCUCACCACCAUGGAUACCAUGAGGGAUGAGUUCACCAGACUGGAGGGGGAGGUGGUCCUCCUCACCACCAUGGAUACCAUGAGGGAUGAGUUCACCAGACUGGAGGGGGGAGGUGGUCCUCCUCACCACCAUGGAUACCAUGAGGGAUGAGUUCACCAGACUGGAGGUGGUCCUCCUCACCACCAUGGAUACCAUGAGGGAUGAGUUCACCAGACUGGAGGGGGUCCUCCUCACCACCAUGGAUACCAUGAGGGAUGAGUUCACCAGGCUGGAGGGGGAGGGGGUCCUCCUCACCACCAUGGAUACCAUGAGGG